UACGUAGGGUGCAAGCGUUGUCCGGAAUUAUUGGGCGUAAAGAGCUCGUAGGCGGUCUGUCGCGUCUGCUGUGAAAACCUGGGGCUUAACCCCGGGCCUGCAGUGGGUACGGGCAGACUAGAGUGCGGUAGGGGAGACUGGAAUUCCUGGUGUAGCGGUGAAAUGCGCAGAUAUCAGGAGGAACACCGAUGGCGAAGGCAGAUCUCUGGGCCGUAACUGACGCUGAGGAGCGAAAGCAUGGGGAGCGAACAGG
rnacentral:rRNA from 1 species